GACGAACGCUGGCGGCGUGCUUAACACAUGCAAGUCGAACGCUGAACCCGCUUCGGUGGGGGAUGAGUGGCGAACGGGUGCGUAACACGUGGGCAACCUGCCCCCGGCUCUGGGAUAACUCCAAGAAAUUGGGGCUAAUUCCGGAUGUGACCGCUGGCCGCAUGGUCUGGUGGUGGAAAGGGUUUCCGGCUGGGGAUGGGCCCGCGGCCUAUCAGCUUGUUGGUGGGGUAGUGGCCUACCAAGGCGACGACGGGUAGCCGGCCUGAGAGGGUGACCGGCCACACUGGGACUGAGACACGGCCCAGACUCCUACGGGAGGCAGCAGUGGGGAAUAUUGCGCAAUGGGCGGAAGCCUGACGCAGCGACGCCGCGUGGGGGAUGACGGCCUUCGGGUUGUAAACCUCUUUCAGCAGGGACGAAGCGCAAGUGACGGUACCUGCAGAAGAAGCACCGGCCAACUACGUG
rnacentral:rRNA from 1 species